CUCCACUACCUUUGCUCCCCAUCAACUCCAACACUUCACCCAUUCCUUCCAUUUCGCACCAGCAAUCACAAAGAGAAGGAAGACUUGGCUUAACUACUUUGCCAAGAUUUCAAGCUGCUCCAGUCCAGUAGUACCCCAACACUCGAAGCUAGAGUUUAUUGGGUGAAAAACCGUGCAUGAGGUAAGGCAGCGAAUCUGCCAUAAGCACACUGCUCCGGCAGUGUUUUGCAAGGCGAUUCCAGCCAUCCAAACGGUUCCCAAAAAUUCCCAAAUUAAUUGUGUAUCAUCUUUCAUACAUUUUCUAUAUUUUGGUAAAAUUUCAGAAUAUUUAGAGCUCGCAUGAUUUAUUUAUGAAUUUGUAAACAUCACUGCCCAUCUGGAAUACAUUUUUGGUAAACAAUCUUUGGGAGAUCAUAAGUAAAGUUUCACUCGGUGAAAACCUUUGAAACUUGAAUAUGUCACUCUAGACUCCCGUAUCUUUCUUUUGACAUCGGCCUCACCAUUUUUGAGUAAGGGAAACAACCGGUAUAAAUUCUUGAAAUCUAGUUCUUAUUCCAUGUACCAUCCAGUAGAUUUUACAAACCUACGACUUUGAGGUGGAAAAGGCCGACUUAAAUAUUUGAUUCUCAAGCCUAUCUUUCUACUGAAUAUUCACUGACAUGUUGGGAACUUACUUGUUCAGUUUUAGAAUUUUUGGUGAAGCUUAAAGUGGUUUUUCCGAUUUAUGUUCUGAAUCUGCCAAACUUGAACUCUUUUUGUGCACUGAACUUUAGAUAGUCAUAUCUUCUAAACCAUGAAGGUUCUUAGAGUAAAUCCAACUGGAGAGUGUUAUGAUCUCUCCCUAGUUUCCAGAUUGACCUUUGGGGUUCCCAGUGGAGUUUUGUAAAGGGAG
rnacentral:lncRNA from 1 species